rnacentral:lncRNA from 1 species
AUCUGGAAACAAUCGAGUACAUAAAUCAAGGGAGACAACUUUGGCUAUAAAAACUUUUUUGUACUUCCUUCAUUCGAAACUCGAACUCGAAAGUAGGGGGACUGGUAUUGGAUAUAAAAUAAUCCCAGCCGAAGUUCGUAAGAGGCCAACCCUCCCAGGACUCUUCUGGCUUCCGACCUUGUGCGGUGUCUUUCUGAACUCCCCCUGCCGUUCGAGCUUCAACAGUACCGUCCAGACUCCUCAAGUAGUCGAGCUUCCACAGUGUCCUCC